rnacentral:misc_RNA from 1 species
AAGUCGUAACAAGGUUUCCGUAGGUGAACCUGCGGAAGGAUCAUUAACACGUAUCCAAACGUUAAAACCCCCCCCGUGAACUUUCAAUCCGGCUCUUGUAACCCGCGUAGUUCCGCAAUCUCUGGUAAAUCAUAGCCCGGCUACGUGAGAACAAUGGAACAGUUACAAUCGAGCGGUAGUUUCAUAGGCAUUGUUUCCCCAAGCAGUCAGUGUCGGAAAGUGUCAUUGAUUGUGCAAGGAUAGCGCUUCACGAUUCCUGUAGACCGUACACUCGGGCAGGAGCUAUGCCAAAGGGUCCCCAUGCCCCCUUACAACCCCACAGUUUAAUGUAAAGCUCAAUGUAAUACAUUGGGUAAAAAAACCGAACAACUGUUAACAAUGGAUAUCUUGGUUCUC